ACUUGAAUUGAAUGUGCAAAUGCUUUCAUACGAAAGAAAGACGAGAAGACCCCGUGAAGUUAGAAAUUCCUAUUACAGCGUAAACCCACAUUGACUGUGUCAGCGUUAAAGAGCAGAUAGGGCUUUGGAUCUUUUUUUGAAGGUCCCGUCUUUAUGGCUUUUGAGCAGCGGAAUGUAGUUUUGACGAGUUUUGGCUGGGGCAGCAAAGAGGCAAAACUAGACCUUUUUAAUCACUAAACGGAUACGUUACGACCCACAAAACAUGAAAAUCGUGAUUAACAGAAGGAGUUACUCCGGGGAUAACAGCGUAAUCUUCCUUGAUAGUUCUUAUAGAUGGGCGGGUUUGCGACCUCGAUGUUGGCUCUGGGUAUCCUGAGGCAUGCAGGCGGUCUCAAGGGUUGGUUCGUUCGCCCAUUAAAACCCGACGUGAUCU
rnacentral:rRNA from 1 species